AAACUUGAGAGUUUGAUCAUGGCUCAGAACGUACGCUGGCGGCACGCCUAACACAUGCAAGUCGAACGAAGUAGCAAUACUUAGUGGCAGACGGGUGAGUAACAUGUAGGUAUCUGCCCUUUGGCCUGGAAUAACACGAGGAAACUUGUGCUAAUACCGGAUAAGUCUUUACGGAGAAAGCUUUAUGCACCAUUGGAUGAGCCUGCACUUGAUUAGUUUGUUGGUGGGGUAAUGGCCUACCAAGACUGUGAUCAAUAGCUGAUUUGAGAGGAUGAUCAGCCACAUUGGGACUGAGACACGGCCCAAACUCCUACGGGAGGCAGCAGUGGGGAAUCUUGCACAAUGGAGGAAACUCUGAUGCAGCGAUGCCGCGUGAGUGAAGAAGGCCCUUGGGUUGUAAAGCUCUUUCGUCGGGGAAGAAAAUGACUGUACCCGAAUAAGAAGGUCCGGCUAACUUCGUGCCAGCAGCCGCGGUAAUACGAAGGGACCUAGCGUAGUUCGGAAUUACUGGGCUUAAAGAGUUCGUAGGUGGUUGAAAAAGUUGGUGGUGAAAUCCCAGAGCUUAACUCUGGAACUGCCAUCAAAACUUUUCAGCUAGAGUAUGAUAGAGGAAAGCAGAAUUUCUAGUGUAGAGGUGAAAUUCGUAGAUAUUAGAAAGAAUACCAAUUGCGAAGGCAGCUUUCUGGAUCAUUACUGACACUGAGGAACGAAAGCAUGGGUAGCGAAGAGGAUUAGAUACCCUCGUAGUCCAUGCCGUAAACGAUGUGUGUUAGACGUUGGAAAUUUAUUUUCAGUGUCGCAGGGAAACCGAUAAACACACCGCCUGGGGAGUACGACCGCAAGGUUAAAACUCAAAUGAAUUGACGGGGACCCGCACAAGUAGUGGAGCAUGUGGUUUAAUUCGAAGAUACGCGCAGAACCUUACCAACACUUGACAUGUUCGUCGCGACUCUAAGAGAUUAGAGUUUUCGGUUCGGCCGGACGAAACACAGGUGCUGCAUGGCUGUCGUCAGCUCGUGUCGUGAGAUGUUGGGUUAAGUCCCGCAACGAGCGCAACCCUCACUUUUAGUUGCCAUCAUUAAGUUGGGCACUCUGAAAGAACUGCCAGUGAUAAGCUGGAGGAAGGUGGGGAUGACGUCAAGUCCUCAUGGCCCUUACGUGUUGGGCUACACACGUGCUACAAUGGUAUCUACAACAGGAAGCAAAACUGCGAAGUUAAGCAAAUCCCUAAAAGAUACCUCAGUUCGGAUUGCACUCUGCAACUCGAGUGCAUGAAGCUGGAAUUACUAGUAAUCGUGGAUCAGCGUGCCACGGUGAAUGCGUUCCCGGGUCUUGUACACACCGCCCGUCACACCAUGGGAGUUGGUUCUACCUUAAGGCAAGGUUUCAAACCCUUGACCACGGUAUAGUCAGCGACUGGGGUGAAGUCGUAACAAGGUAGCCGUAGGGGAACCUGCGGCUGGAUUACCUCCUUU
rnacentral:rRNA from 1 species